GGGGCAGCCACAGCUUCUUUGGCCAACUUCUGCCAGUGUUUUACCACCUUCAUAGCAAGGAAUUUCUUCCUAAUAGCUAAUCUAAAUCUCUCCUUUUUGGCAGGCAGAGCUUAGAAUAGUAGACUGACAUUUUCCUUCCAACCAAACUCUGAGUAUAGAUUUAAUGUAAUAAUUUGUUAUAAUCUUGGGUUCCUGACUUCACAUAUUAAAGUGAUAUGCGGCACACAGCCUACACGCUUCCCUAGACAAUCAAAGCAAGCGUGGAGACUGCCAAGCCAGAAAUGCCACUGUGCAAACAAAUGACUUUUCAACUAACUCAGUGGUUUUAUUUUAGACAAGAAGGAAGUGGAAUCAGAGCUGUCAGGAGUAACAGGUGGAGAAGGCACCCACCAGAGCAUCAGAAAGAUUAUUACUCCUACUCAAAUAUAUUUAAGAAAUCAUUUGGAGUCCCUGUUGUGGUUAUUAGGGGAAGAUCCAACACCAGCCAGUCAACAAGGCCAUGUAAUCCCAAUUCACAGAGCUGACAACUGACAACUGACAAGCUCCUGGCCUUUACAUCAGAUAAAAACCUGUGUGGAAGACAGAAAGGGAGUCUGUUGCACUGAUUUCUCAAUGAUAGCUGCUUGAGGUAGGCACCUCUGCAUUUGAGGAAAAUACAAAAGGGACAGGAAAAAUGAGGCUAGCACUUGAAGCAAAAGGGUUUUAUUAGCUUCUGAUAUUUCAGCCCUACCUACUUAAGCUGCAGCUAGAAACAACAAACAAACAAACAAACAAAUGUAUCUUUGUAAAAAGACUACCAAACAAUCCAUAAAAGUUUUCCACAUGUAUUAAAAGUUUAAAUUCAAAAUAAAAUUGUCAAGGUUUUGUUUUCUAACAGCAUCUUUAUGGAGAUAAUAUCCAAAUUCUCUUCCUAAGUACAGAUACAAGGCAAACAAGCGUCCUACAAAAUAAUCUCUAGAAAAAGGUAGUGUAGGAGGGAAAUUAAGACAGUGUAAUAAUCCACUAGCCAGACACACAGGUUAAAUGUAACACAACCAUACCAUCAAUGAAAUACUUUAAAAUGAAAAUAAAUUAAGGUUACAUCAAA